rnacentral:rRNA from 1 species
CACUCCUGCGGGAGGCAGCAGUGGGGAAUUUUGGACAAUGGGCGAAAGCCUGAUCCAGCAAUGCCGCGUGAGUGAAGAAGGCCUUCGGGUUGUAAAGCUCUUUUGUCAGGGAAGAAACGGUGAAAGCUAAUAUCUUUUGCUAAUGACGGUACCUGAAGAAUAAGCACCGGCUAACUACGUGCCAGCAGCCGCGGUAAUACGUAGGGUGCAAGCGUUAAUCGGAAUUACUGGGCGUAAAGCGUGCGCAGGCGGUUUUGUAAGUCUGAUGUGAAAUCCCCGGGCUCAACCUGGGAAUUGCGUUGGAGACUGCAAGGCUAGAAUCUGGCAGAGGGGGGUAGAAUUCCACGUGUAGCAGUGAAAUGCGUAGAUAUGUGGAGGAACACCGAUGGCGAAGGCAGCCCCCUGGGUCAAGAUUGACGCUCAUGCACGAAAGCGUGGGGAGCAAACAGGAUUAGAAACCCCUGGUAGUCCCAUGA